GCAUCGGUGGUUUAGUGGUAAAAUUAGCCGUUGCCAUGUGACCUCCACAUCACACAGUUUCGGCUAGCCCCGGGUUCGAUUCCCGGCCGAUGCA
rnacentral:tRNA from 1 species